ACGGAAGGCAGCAGUGGGGAAUAUUGCACAAUGGGCGAAAGCCUGAUGCAGCGACGCCGCGUGAGUGAAGAAGUAUUUCGGUAUGUAAAGCUCUAUCAGCAGGGAAGAAAAUGACGGUACCUGACUAAGAAGCUCCGGCUAAAUACGUGCCAGCAGCCGCGGUAAUACGUAUGGAGCAAGCGUUAUCCGGAUUUACUGGGUGUAAAGGGAGCGUAGACGGUGUGGUAAGUCUGAAGUGAAAGCUCGAGGCUCAACUUCGGAAUUGCUUUGGAAACUAUCAUACUAGAGUGCAGGAGAGGCAAGUGGAAUUCCUAGUGUAGCGGUGAAAUGCGUAGAUAUUAGGAGGAACACCAGUGGCGAAGGCGGCUUGCUGGACUGUAACUGACGUUGAGGCUCGAAAGCGUGGGGAGCAAACAGGAUUAGAUACCCUGGUA
rnacentral:rRNA from 1 species